rnacentral:lncRNA from 1 species
UGGAAGAGCAUUGAGUUAUACAUGUGCACUUUGAAGAAUCAUAUAAUCAAAAGACUAUCUAGUGUUCAACUAAAGACACCUAAAUUACACUGUUGAUCAAUUGGAAAGCACCUUGUUCUCAUUACAUCGUAGCCAAUUGCAUCAAUCUCUUAAAAAAUUUCAAUGGUAUUUUAGAACAAAGCAACAAAUGUAUUAGACCCAUCCCAAGUCCCCAAGUGGCUGCCACCUGGGCUAAGACAAAAUAGCAUAGAUUGGGAGGUGGCUAUGCUUUUGAAAACCUCGAAGAACAAUCCUAUUAAUGGAUUAUACUUGGUAUAUGUAAUGGAAUAAUUUUCAUGUAAAUUGAUAUUAAAAUAAGAAUGACAUAAAACUCAAAUAAUCUUAUGCAUGACUAUGUAGAUUCUCACAAUAAUGUUA